AUCUAUGCAAUCCGGAUUCCAUAUAUAAACCCUUUUUGUUUUUUUGGAACUUAUAGAAAACCCUAAUCUCCCACUCAUCUUCGCCGCUUCAUCUAAUUGGAACUUAUAGAAAACCUAAUAUCCUACUCUUCUUAGCUGUUUCAUCUAAAUAAUCACAACGAAUCACUCCCAGCUUGAAGUCGAUCUCGGCCAUCGCUGAAAUCCAAAAGAAGAAGCAGUUACUAUUAGAUUUAGGCCUUUAAGUUCGUUGCCGGUUACUUCACAACUGUUUUCCUGCUAUUGUUUCCGAUGACCCUUUAAUUGCUCAUGAUCAAUGGAAGCCACUGAUGUCUUCUGUAAAGAUUUUGUUCGCGAGAAACGACCCGGUAGGAACUUACUUCGCACUAAACCGGUUUGCUUCCUUUUCUCCUACACCUAAGUUCCUCUUCUGAAUUUGUUUUUUUUUUUCUUGAUUGAUCUUAGUUAUGUACUUAUGUUUAAUUCAUUCAAUUUCAUCACGUUCUUUGUUUCGCAAACAAUCGGUUUAAACCAAUUGUCGGUGACGUAAUUAAGUUUUGGACACCCGGUUGUGCUAAUUCUUUUGAGAAGCUCUAUAAGGUAAGUUCAAACCUCAAACACUCAUCAUGUAAUUUGUGAUUGAUCGAUUAUCGGAUUGGGCAAGGGACAACCUCCUAGACUCAAGGACAAUUUGUUGGAUACUUAUUGGCUUAUUGCAUUACAAGGUACAAACCAGCAUUAAGGAACCGGUGACAUAGAAAAUGACAAAAAUUUUGGCAAAAAGAAAGACGGCAUGUUGUGGAAUACUUGCAAAGACGGGUAAUUUGACCAAGAAGUUGAUAUGAAUGGAGGAGGGCUCGGAUGCUAGGAAAACUGUAAAGGGUAAGGUUCCAGUUUCCAACCAAGAGCCUGUGAACUCUCACAAUCUGCUUCCUCAAAACGAUUACUAUUUCAAAAGAUUCUGCUUCAUUUCAUCUCAGCCGAUUCUUCGACACUUGCAGCAAUUCUGAUCUCUGUUUCACACUCAAAUUUUGUAUUUUUGUUUUAUUUUGGCUGACUUCUCAGCAACUGGUAGUAUGAAUCCAAUGAUCCGGACAAUGAUUACACCUCCGUUUCAGCAGAUGGCACCUGCACCAUGUUUUCCACCAUCACCACCAGUGACCAGCUACCAGCUACCAGCUGACCCAAACGAAUAGUCACGAGGGCUUGCUCUUUUCCUGAUCAUGUGGCAUACAAUAAAAAAAUAUAUAUGAUUACACAUAAAUAUUUACUAUCUCCUUGGAGUAAAAUGUUGCGUAGAGAAGUCGUGUAACUAUCAGUUGACUGAGAAACAUAACCAGUUGGCAGUGUAACGUGUGCAAUUGAUUUCGAUAGGGUGAGCGGAUCUUUGGUUCAAUUGAGGGGCCUAUUUUUCUACAUGCACAAGGCCUUAGAAUUCUUAGGGAUUCUUAAAGACGACUCUGGCGCAUAUCAAACUGGUCAAAUGCAUAUAGUUAGCAAAGGCGCACCCGAGAAGAUACUCAAUCCUGCACAUAACAAACCAGAGAUCGCGAACAAGAACUGCUAGCUGGAACAAAAGAGAGCAUGGGUGGCUUGUGGAAGUUAGUCGACCUUCUUCCGCUAUUCAACCCUCUACAACAUGACAGCGCCAAAACGAUCAGCAUAGCUUUAUAUCUUGGAUUGAAGAAACACAUCCAAGGUUGCGGAUUGGGUUCAGCUGCAAGGGUAGCUAAGGAACUAGGUUAUGCUACAAUCCAAUGAUGUGGAAAUGGAAGUUAGAGACGGGAAAUGUGGAGUUCUUGGUUAGCCAUGUUAGAAAAUGUCUGGAAAACUGGAGGUGCCUAAGGUGAAUUACUUUGCGUAGAGAGCGGUCGAUGGGAAGAUUCCUAGGGCUUCCAGUUUUGCAGUAAGAGACGCCCACUUCAGCGACGGCUAUAGGAUACGUGUGGAUAUUGCAGACUAUAUGUUGGUCGAAUGCUCGAAUGAUGGUACAUGAAAGUUCGAUGGUUCUUAAUAGCGACCUGGUGGAGAUUUAGUGUAAUGGAAAUUUUCGGCGAAGAAGGACAUGUCGCUGAUGAGUGGUGGUGCUGGUGGACAGUGAUGAUUAAAAGUGGGUGACAGUUCCAGUAGCAUGUCAGGUAACUGUUGCAGAAUGAGCAUAUGCGCAUGAUCCUUCAGGGGAUCUAUAUGUCACGUUCCUGGAAGAAUGAAUAAUUGUUUGGAUGAUUCGGCUAGCAAGGAAAAUCUUCAACUUCUGAAUUUGGCGUGGAUUUUCAGAAAGUUUAUCAGUUGAAAUAAAGUGAGUUAUCUUAUGAUUUAUUACUAAUGAUUUUGACUAUAUAUACAAUUUUUCCAGUUAUAAUAUGACUCACGCGGAUUAUAUCUCUACGAUAGUCACCAAGUAUGGGUUGGGGAUCUGGGCCAGAGUUAUGAUUCAAACAUCACACUUUCACAUUAUGAAAUGAACCCUAUAAAAGGGCAAGCGGUGUUGUUCGUUGGAGACAUUUCGUAUGCCGAUAACUAUCCUAAUCAUGAUAAUAAGAGAUGGGAUUCAUUGGGAAGGUUUGCAGAGAGAAGUAUCGUGUAUCAACCAUGGAUAUGGACCACGGGAAAUCAUGAACUUCAUUAUGCCCCUAAAAUCGUAGUCAUAAGGGACUCUAGGCUGAGGUUAUUGAAAAGGAAAAUAUAUUAGACACUAUCGGAAAUAUGGAUCAUCAGUGAAGAAAAGUUUAGUUUAACCUGCAUUCAAGCGACCGCGUCUUGAAAUACCAUCACUAUUGCCAGCAUGUAAGGUAUAUGUUACAUAGAGUAUCAGUGUCAAGAGUGAUGAUUGAAGAAGUCAAAGCCGUUGCAAUCCGUUGGGUAAAAAAAUAGAUCGAAAUAAGUUGUAAUAGUUUUUGGUUGUGUCUUGGCGCUUUAUUUUGGGUUUGUAUUGUACUAUGGCUAAUGGAUUGCCUCCAUGUACUGUAAUAUGUUUCUUUUUUGAGGAUUCUAUACAAUUGGUGCUUGCUACUCCCAAGAUUUCUAAUGA